rfam:Salmo salar isolate Sally breed double haploid chromosome ssa01, whole genome shotgun sequence.
UGCACUCACUACUGUAAAUCUCUCUGGAUAAGAGCGUCUGCUAAAUGACAAAAA